rnacentral:rRNA from 1 species
CAGUAGCCACGGGAAUACGAAGGGCGCAAGCGUUACUCGGAAUUACUGGGCGUAAAGCGUGUGUAGGUGGUUGUUUAAGUCUGUCGUGAAAGCCCUGGGCUCAACCUGGGAAUUGCGAUGGAUACUGGGCGACUAGAGUGCGGUAGAGGAUAGUGGAAUUUCCGGUGUAGCAGUGAAACGCGUAGAGAUCGGAAGGAACAUCUGUGGCGAAGGCGACUAUCUGGGCCAACACUGACACUGAGACACGAAAGCGUGGGGAGCAAACAGGAUUAGAUACCCCAGUAGUCCCUGUCUCUUAUAC